AAGCAACACUCUGUGGCAGAUAAUCAAAAUUGUCUGACACAAUUUGAGCUUGCUAUAGCAAGAAAGUCUAACCUAUUCCGGUGUUCUCCUCUCUGUGAGACUAGCCGUUAUAUAGACUUAAACACU
ensembl:snoRNA SNORA28 small nucleolar RNA, H/ACA box 28